UACGGGGGGGCAAGCGUUGUUCGGAAUUACUGGGCGUAAAGGGCUCGUAGGCGGCCAACUAAGUCGGAUGUGAAAUCCCCAGGCUUAACCUGGAACUGCAUCCGAUACUGGAUGGCUUGAAUCCGGGAGAGGGAUGCGGAAUUGCCAGGUGUAGCGGUGAAAUGCGUAGAUAUCUGGAGGAACACCGGUGGCGAAGGCGGCAUCCUGGACCGGCAUUGACGCCUGAGGAAGCGAA
rnacentral:rRNA from 1 species